UGAAGCCACACCCACAUUAUGACUCACAAAACAGGAAGCAGCGUUCAGUGUUUCUCUGCUCACCAACAGACUCUGAGAUUCACCGUUCUACUCUAGAGAAAAUUUGACUAAAUCACAACAAAAACUGAGAAGAGUGAGAUACUGCCUUAUAAACAACUACAGGAGGAAAUACUGUCAUUUACAGAUACUUUAACUCACUGCUGACUGAAUCGGAGUGAACGUAAACGUCAUACUACAGCAGGAGGGUGAGAAAAUGGCGUCCAGCUCGUCUCUCCCAGAGGAGGAUCUCUCCUGUCCUAUGUGCUGUGACAUCUUUAAUGAUCCUGUCCUCCUGUCAUGUAGCCACAGCUUCUGUAAAGACUGCCUGCAGGAAUACUGGAAACAGAGAGAAUCACGUGAAUGCCCACUCUGUAGGAGAAGAUCUUCCAAUCCAGAUCCACCAUGUAACCUGGUCCUGAAGAACCUGUGUGAGUCCUUCUUACAGGAGAGACGAGGGUCUGAGGUGCUCUGCAGUCUGCACAGUGAGAAACUCAAGCUCUUCUGUCUGGAUGAUAAACAGCCAGUGUGUGUGGUGUGUCAAACGUCGAAACCACACUCCAACCACAGAUGUAUACCCAUAGAUGAAGCUGCACAGAAUCAUAAGAAGGAACUCCAGCCUGCUCUGAAGUCCUUACAGGAGAAGCUUAAGAUCUUUAAUGAAGUUAAACAGACCUGUGAUCAAACCACAAAUCAUAUUAAGAUCCAGACACAGCACACAGAGAGGCAGAUUAAGGAGGAGUUUAAGAAGCUUCACCAGUUUCUACAAGAGGAAGAGGAGGCCAGGAUAGCUGCACUGAGGAAGGAGGAGGAGCAGAAGAAUCAGGUGAUGAAGGAGAAGAUUGAGGGGCUGAGCAGAGAGAUAUCAACACUUUCACACACAAUCAGAGCCAUAGAGGAGGAGCUGAGAGCUGAAGACAUCUCAUUCCUGCAGAACUACAAGGACACAGUGAAAAGAGCCCAGUCCACUCUGCCGGAUCCACAGCUGGUCUCAAGAGCACUGAUAGAUGUGGCCAAACAUCUGGGCAACCUGACCUUCAGAGUCUGGGAGAAGAUGCAGAACGUUGUCACAUGCACUCCUGUGAUUCUAGACCCCAACACUGCCCAUCCAGACCUCAUCCUGUCUGAGGAUCUGACCAGUGUGAGACUCAGUCAGGAGAGACAGCAGCUUCCUGACAACCCAGAGAGGUUUGAUUACUAUGGAUGGGUCCUGGGCUCUGAGGGCUUUAACUCAGGGACACACAGCUGGGAUGUUGAGGUUGGAGACAGUACAGUCUGGUACCUGGGUGUGGUAGCAGAGUCUGUCCAGAGGAAGGGGGUCUUAUGGGGUGGAGACUGGGGGAUCUGGUUCUACCAUGGUGAAUAUAAAGCAAGAUCUUCAUCAGCUCUGUUAACUGCUCUCACAGUGAGACAGAAACCUCAGAGGAUCAGAUUGCAGCUGGACUAUGACAGAGGAAAGCUGUCAUUCUCCGACUCUGAUAGAAACACACACCUACACACAUUCACACACACCUUCAUUGAGAGAGUGUUUCCUUACAUUGGUAAUCGCUGCAUUCUGCACUCUCUGAGGAUCUUACCAGUGAGGGAGGGAGAGAAGAGACAGAUAAGAGGGGGAGAGGAUGGAGAGAGGGAAGAGAGGGGGAGAAAGAAGAGAGAAAAUAGAAAAAGGAGGAAAAGGAGAAGGAGAGAGGAAGGACAGAUGAGUGAGAGAGUGGAGUGAGAGGACAAAUAGAGGAAGGAGUGUGGGAAGGAGAGAGGAGAGGGGGUAGAAAGGACAAAGAGAGAUGAGGGAGAGGGGUGAGAGGUAGUGGAGAGAGCAGAGAGAUAACAUAGUGAGAGACAGAGGAGGGAGACAUAGAAGGAGUUGAGGAGGGGGGGAGAGAGUGUCUCAUACAAACGACAAGGGCCACCUAUCCCACCAAUGAGGCAAAAGGGGCGGAGUCAGGCCAGCGGCAAAUCAGUGGACACGGCUAUCCCCAACCCGUAGACCAUCAACGAAUAAAAGAGAGAGUGGUAUAUUUAACACCCAAUGAAGUGAAGAAGUAACUCAUCUGGCGAUUGGAUGUUGUAUCUCAUGACCAAUCAGAGGAGAGAUGGAACGAGGGUCUGAUAGAAACCUCCAAGUGACAUGGGGCUGGUGGAGGAUAUAACCUCAGCACUCAGGUGGUGAAAGCUGCACAGCUCUCAGGUGGUGAAAGCUGCACAGCUCUCAGAGUACAGAUGAGUCUGUCUACUAACUCCUCCAUGACUGGAGCAGGAGGGAGAGGCUGUCUGGUAUCCACUGGUGUAGGGCCAGCCUCCUCUCAUUGCAGUCCAGUAUUAAUCACUGGGAGGAGCUGGAGAUCUGAUCCUGGAUCAGAAGCUGCUUUUGCUCAUGUUAGGUGACAGGUCAUCUGUUCAUCAUUCCGUCUGGUGUUAAAUUAACCACAUUCCUUCUGCAAUUCAUCUAGCUGACACACACAAACACGUACUCAUACACACAUACACACACUAAAACACACACCUCUGUAUUUUAUGAACAGAGAUGAGAUUGUUCAGAGACCAGACUGUCAGUCAAGUCCUCCUUUCUCUUCUGUUCAGUUCAAUAAAGAUUCAUUGGAUUCGG